rnacentral:rRNA from 1 species
UACGGAGGGUGCAAGCGUUGUCCGGAAUCACUGGGCGUAAAGGGCGCGUAGGCGGCUCAUGAAGGCUGUGGUGAAAGUCCGGGGCUCAACCUCGGGCUUGCAGUGGGUACGGGCAGACUAGAGUGCGGUAGGGGAGACUGGAAUUCCUGGUGUAGCGGUGGAAUGCGCAGAUAUCAGGAGGAACACCGAUGGCGAAGGCAGGUCUCUGGGCCGCAACUGACGCUGAGGAGCGAAAGCAUGGGGAGCGAACAGG